rnacentral:lncRNA from 1 species
AAAGCACAAUAAAGAUACAAUCAAAGAUCAUUAAGCAACAUGAGAACUAUAAGUAUUGACAAGGCACUCGUUACUAUGAUGAGCAUGAAACUUAUGCCAAGAAUUCAUUUAACGCGAUCGUUUAUAAGCGACCUCCACUACUUGUGAAUAUAAGUUUGUAACUAUUAGGUGAAACUCCCUUAUAUUCUAGCAUCAUAUUCAUGCAUGAAAACUAAGCGUGCACUCUUAACAAACAUACAUGAAUACGUUAUCAAUCAAGCAGUUAAAUGAAUUGAAUUCACAACUUAUGAAAUCACAACCAAAAGUAAUCAAUUCAUAUUGCAAGCAUGAACAUGGUUUCGAAUUACCCCCUAACUAAGAAGGGCUUAGUUCCUCAUGUUCGCAAAACAAAGAUACAUAAACUUAACCAUUGAAAACAAAAGAAAGAUUACACCUAGAAACGCUCCAACAAUCCAACGUCUUGAAUGGCAAGCACGUCCAAGGGUCUCAUUCUUUCUUCUUUGCUGCGACACAAGGGUGUUUGGUGAUGAUUUGCGAUGAAUUGUGGUGGUGGAUGGAUGUAGGUAGGUUAUGGUGAGGGAUGGAAUGAGUGUAUAGGGCGGCUAGGGAUGUUUUUAGGCAGGAACUAGGGUGAAUGGUGGUAGAAUGGUGCGGCUAAGUGUAUGGAAUGUGUUCUGGCGUGAAUGGCUGUUUUCUGGAUGAAUGGGGAUGUUUGUGGCUGCACAAGGAUGGUUAUUUAAAGGGAUUAGGAAAUUAAAAACCCUAGGCUAAUUAGGUAAACAGAAAUUUAAGUAAAAAAACUUCUAGAAGUAGGAAACAAAAUCAGAAAAUUAAGGGAAAGGUCAAGGGAUAUGCGGCAACACCUUGAAACACAUUAGGAAUGUGUUUUAAUCCUCAAAAUCAGGAAAGGACCCUCUCCCUUGCACGGCAAGGAAGAGGAAAGGGCAAGGAACCUUCACAUGGUGCGGCAAGGACUUUCAAUGUGCAAGAGAGGUGUAUUUGAUGUCCUAGAAUGCUUAGGAUGCCUUCAAAGUUGAUAAAACUUAGGAACAUUUAGGAAAGGUCAAACCAAAGUAAGAACCCUUGGCUUAACUUUCCUACUUCAAGUAGGAAUCCUUGUUGGAGUAGGAAUCCUUGUUCUUCUAGGAAUCCUCAUGUGAUUAGGAAUCCAUCUUCAAUUAGGAAUCCUUCGUUGAUUAGGAAUCCUUCUUCAAUUAAGAAUCCUUUUGCUCCAAAAUGCUCCAAAAUGCAUACUUUGCCUUUAGAAUCUGAAAACACACAAAAGUAACUUUAAACACUAAAAUAGCUAACGAAACAUAACAUAAAUGCACGAGAACAAGCCGAUUAAGUCGCAUAAAUAUGGUCCUAUCAAAUCCCCCACACUUAGCUUUUGCUAGUCCUCGAGCAAAAUAAAACAAAAUAAAACAAAACAAAACAAAUAAAACAUAACCUAAACCUUCCAACAUUUGCCUCAGGGAUUUCCAAUGCACAUGACAUGUUAAAAAUCAUCAUCCCCACAGAUUUGAGUCAUCUUUACACUUGAGCACAUACUUAAUCAUAGUCACUACUUACUAGUUCACAUUUAAGCAAUUAAAACAAUGUUUUGAAUGUAGUAACAUGCCUUAGAGAAUUCCCUCAAUUCCUUACAAGAUAUGCACUCAAUUUUCACUCAGAUUUUCUAACUACACACCCUAUACUAGUUAUAUGUGAGAAGAUUGAUGUAGAUAUGAAAACAAACACUCACAUAUAUAUAACAAAGAACGCAAUUUCUGGAGUUAAUAAGCAUGUUUAGAUAUGAUCUCCUGAAUGGAAUGCUACUACUUAGACGUGAGAACCAGCGACACCAUAUGCUCAUACCAACUUCAAACUCCACAAAUUGAAACACAUAACACUCAAGAUUGAAGUCAAAGGUUGUAACGGGGCUUGGGGUGUUGGCUAACAAAUGAAGGAUAGGGAUAACAAACGUUCUUAAAGCAAUAGCAGGCCAAGUAAUGAAAUUGAAACUUAGAAUUCACUUAGAUUGUAGAAAUCAACUUUUAAACACGAAGGGAAGAUUCAAGCAAUAUUGGGGCCGAAUUCAAAGUUUUGGACCCCUUCUUCAACAAACAAUACUCUAGAACUUUUUUUUUUUCACAUCUUUUCAACUCUUUUUCUUUUUCCACGAAUUUCAUUUUUUUUUCUUUUCUUUUCUUGCCGUGUUCUAUGGCACCCAAAAUACCCAAAUUGAAACCUUUCCCCCACACUUGUUUUCUGCCAUAUAUAAAUGAAAAGGAAUUCAAUUUGAAUCAUGCUUUACUACGCUUCAAGAACAAGGGUAAGGAUGGUCCUAAUCUAGGCUAGGUGAGGUUAAUGUGGUUAACAAAGAAUGUAGGCUAACAAGGCUCGAAGGGGUUAAACUUAAACAUAAAAUGAUACGGGAUAUACGGCAAUUUGGCUUUGGUGGUGGUAACUACACAACUUCAUCUUGAAUAUGUGUUAUGCAAAUCAAUAACAUGCUUUGAAUGAAAUGGGCAUUUGGAACUAAAUGAUGAAACGCCUUCUAAGUAGUAACCAAGCAAGGAAUAAUGAGAUCAUGCAACGACUUAGAAAACAAUAAUGCAUAGAUUUUAACUCUCCAAAUAAAUGUUUAGGCUCAAGUCUCACAAGGUUGUAGCGUUUGCUUGAGUUCCUUCCUUCAAGCAUGUUACAAAACUAAUUUUUAUCCUUUGUGAUUGCAUGUGAAUUCAUAAGCUAUAACCACAACCAAGCAUAAGCAAAGAGUAAUUCAAACUUUCAUCAUGUUAAUAACUUUCUUUAACAGCCAUGCAAUUACAAACCGAAUCCUCAUCAUUGUGUUGGAAGGUACCCUAGACACAAACACACAAAAACGACUCAAAACACUAUUUUUAGGCUUUUCAAAACACUUUUUUCAAAUUUUUAUGUGAUUUUCGGAGUUUUAUGUUAACACACACUAAAAUACACCAAAACUGCUUAAAAACACUUAAAAACAGCAAGGAACAAGUCUCUAAGUAAUGGGUGGUACUGAAGGAAAAUUUUUGUCCUGGCUAAGAACAAGUAUGAACAUUUGAAUACACAUGCAAGCUAUUAACACUUUAAAGUAGGCAUGCAUCCAAAAACAAUUCAUAAAACCCAUGACUUUCAAAGCCUAGUAUAUGGUGAACCAAAAUAAACUCUUUAACAACAUUAAAGAGAAGUAAAGAUUUAGUGAUUCUUUACCCUUGAAGCUCAUCCUUGUUUACACAAGGGAUUCACCCAAGUGGAGGGCCUUCAAGUCACCUCCAAGCUCCUUGAAUCCUCCUUGUGUUUUCCUCCCUUUAGUGCUCCUUUGAUGAUUUGAGGAAAAAGGAUUUGUUCCCCAAAACACCAAAAGCUUGAUGUCUCUAAGUCUCUUCACCAAGGUUGUAUCUUGUGAAGAUGAAUUGGAUGACUAAGGGAAGAAGAGAUUGCUAGAUGUCCCUCCCCUUAGUGGCCGGCCUCCUUAGAAGAAAAUGGAGAAAAUGUUUCACGCAAUUUCAACAAGAAAAAACCCUAAUUAGAAAAAUAGCUAUAAAAGUUGCUUUUAUAAAAACCUUUUCUUUGAUGAGUGGCAAACUUGUAAUAAAGCAAACUUUGCCCAUUCACCCUAAUGGCCGGCCAUCCUUUGUUAUUGGGCUAAUUUUCCUAUUUUGUUUUAGUUGUCAUACAACUUAAACAUAAUGGGCCUUGUGGACCAAAACGCUUUUGGGCCCCGAAACCCAAAACCUACAUAUAAGCCCAAUACGAACCUUUCGUAUAAUUAAUUAACUAAUUAAUUAAUCUUUGACCAUUCUUCAAUUAAACCAUUUAAUUGCUUAUCCAUUUCAUUUGAUUCUUUCACAUACAUCCUUACUCGAUGUACGAUCCAUUAGGUUCCAAUUAGCGAGGCAGUGGCGAUGAUGUUACUCUUAACUAUCGAUUUGUGAAUUGAAACCACAUUUCAAUUCUCCCUUUAAUGAUUAGUGUUACCUAAUCAUUUGGGCUUCCACAAACCAUGAGUGACACCUAGCAGUAUGUCAUGGUUACCCAAGCUAAGUAAGAAAUUGGUUGGAGAACCUAUCCAGUUACAACUACAAUGCAAUACGGUCAUUCUCUAAUACAAUACUCUCUUAAUCACAUUGUUUACGUGAUAGUUGUUUGUUUCAUGUCUACUAUCCAAUGUGAUACUUUCAUAUAUGAUUCCCAUGAAUAUGAUUUGGAACAAACUUCCUAAGUCAUAUUCAUUUGCUUUGGCCAAAGACUUUAGAAUCAUAUCUUAGAGUAUUCUCCCUCCACCAAGGAAGGUUAGAGAUCCCUUGUUGUGCAUUCAUAUGCCUACAUGACUAGAUAUAGCUUGACCCCAACAAUGCCGUGGACACUCCAAAGGAAUGCCGUUGACAAGAUCAAAGAUCAAGGACCUAACCAUUAGACAUCGAUGAUGCCUCAGGUCAAAGGACUACUUUGCAUAUUGUAAACUUUAGAGUUCAUACAUGACAUGUAUGUUCGAACUCUCUUUGAUCGUAGUUCAGUGUACUCGAUUACUCUUUUCGAGCACCUAUGUGUUUGUCUUAGUGUCCAACACCAAAUGACUUGAGACUAGUCAUACUCACGCUUGAGUCAACACAACACAUACUAAACCUUAGCGGAUUGUCAAUGCCCCAAUUGGCAAUCCUAUGGCUAGGAACGUUUUAGGAAUGAACAUAAGAGAAAGGUCUUGAUAAUCUAACUCACUUAGAUCACUUAUCUCUUAGAACAAAUACAUUCCUUGGAUUCUCUUAUUGCUUAAACACAUGAUACAAUAAAUAGUGAUUAACAAUAAGAUUUGCCCUUCAUUAAACAUAUAAAAGUUUAAUACAUUAAGUAUUCCAAAAAGCUAUUACAUCAAAUGAGUGGCUUUGUGGGCAUACUUCCAACAGGUACAAUCCCACGAAUUUGCAUCAAAAACACUUAGUUACCCCCCCCCACACUUAAAUCAAACAUUGUCCUCAAUGUUUCAAGCAUAAAAUCACACCAAAUAAAAGGAAACACACAAACAACAAGUAAACAAAUAAACGGGCAGAUUAUAAACAACAACAAAGAGAAAGGUUUGAGGAACGCAAAUCUGGAAUUGGAGUGCUCUCUAGGUCUUCCUUUGUCGAAUGCAUGGGUUGCCUCCCAAGUAGCGCUUUCUUUAACGUCUUGCAGCCGGACGAUGCCUCAU